CAUCGUGUUGAAACACUGUUUUCCUGUACAAUCACUGAAGUUAAGCAACAUCAAGUCUGGUCAGUACCUAGAUGGGUGGCCGCUUGGGAAUACUAGGUGCUGUAAG